rnacentral:rRNA from 1 species
CAGCAGCCGCGGUAAUUCCAGCUCUGUAAGCGUAUACCAAAGUUGUUGCAGUUAAAACGCUCGUAGUCGGAUUUUGGUGUGGCCCGUGCUGUGUGCGUAAUGCAUGUGGCGCUGGGACACGCUUUUGUGGAGGGCGGCGCGUCGUGGCUUUAUUGUCGCGGCGUGUCGGCGCCACCGUUUACUGUGAAAAAAUUAGAGUGUUCAAAGCAGGCGUUUGCCGUGAAUACAUUAGCAUGGAAUAAUAGAAUAGGACUUGGUUUCUAUUUUGUUGGUUUGUGAGAGCCGAGUAAUGAUUAAGAGGGACGGUUGGGGGCAUUUGUAUUCCAGCGUCAGAGGUGAAAUUCUUGGAUUGCUGGAAGACAAACCGCUGCGAAAGCGUCUGCCAAGGACGUUUUCAUUGAUCAAGAACGAAAGUAAGGGGAUCGAAGACGAUCAGAUACCGUCGUAGUCUUUACUAUAAACGAUGAGAACUGGGGAUCGGGCGGGGAUCACGAUGACCCGUCCGGAACCCUCCGGGAAACCAAAGUGUUUGCUUUCCUGGGGGGAGUAUGGUCGCAAGGCUGAAACUUAAAGGAAUUGACGGAAGGGCAUCACCGGGUGUGGAGCCUGCGGCUUAAUUUGACUCAACACGGGA